UUUGCCAUCCAUAGGCAGGGGGU
rnacentral:piRNA from 1 species